UCCGAGUUGACCCCGGCAGUCUCCGAUGAGUCCCCGCCAUUACGCGCUGGCAACAUCGAACGAGGGUUGCGCUCGUUGCGGGACUUAACCCAACAUCUCACGACACGAGCUGACGACAGCCAUGCACCACCUGUGAACGGCCCCGAAGGACCCCACAUCUCUGUGGGAUUUCCGCCCAUGUCAAACCCAGGUAAGGUUCUUCGCGUUGCCUCGAAUUAAACCACACGCUCCGCUGCUUGUGCGGGCCCCCGCCUAUUCCUUUGAGUUUUAGCCUUGCGGCCGUACUCCCCAGGCGGGGUGCUUAAUGCGUUAGCUUCGGCACGGAACGGGUUGAAGACCGCCCCACACCUAGCACCCAACGUUUACGGCUGGGACUAC
rnacentral:misc_RNA from 1 species